GGGCCCACUGAGUACAAUUUCUUCUUCUCUGAGCACGGACAGCGACCCAAGCCAAAUCUUAAGCUGAGAAGAAACAACCAUGAUUCAGCAGGAUUAUGAACAGGAAGCAGAUUCCUGCCUUUGUCCAUUUCCAGCCUCUCUCUGAGGAGGGUGGGCCCUCCAAGCAACCCUGCCUCACUGCCUCUCGUUACUAAGCCAACGGGCUCUGCAGGUAGCUCUCCUGCCUGUGGCAGCUCUUCCCCGCACCAGGGGCUGCUCCAGGAAUCCCGGGGAGACAGGCACAGGCCCAGAGCCCAUCACAGUUUCGCCUUGGUUUCAGAAGUCUUGGGGGAAGAAAGCGUGAAGCUCUGCAGACCCCUCUCCUCACAACAGGCGGCAGAACUAGCGUUAAACUGGGGAUGAGGGGUGCAUUCAAGCCCCAGCAGGGAGCAGCUACUGGAUUCAACUGCUCCCUCCAUUACCCACAACCCUCUGGGACCCUCCAUUGUUCAAAAACACACAACCUGUGUAUUUCUG